rnacentral:lncRNA from 10 species
UACAAUUAUGAUGAUCUAUUAUUCCACUGUGAAGUUAGGUAGGGGGUCUAUUGAGAAGUUCAGGAAGAUCUUGGUCAGGGAAAUCAUCUUCUCCAACUAACUUGCCAAGCCUGAUUCCUGAUUUUACCUUUCACUAUAUAACAUACCUACCCACUCUUUAUACCCAAGUGUCUUACCCAGGGGUGAAGAACUGAAACAUCUUCCUGAACCAGCCUCUGUCACCACUGUCCUCCUGGCAGCAUCCUGAAUUGCGAAGAGCCACCCCGCCCCCCAGACAUUCAGUGACCUAGACUCAGACCUCUGGGGAAGGACACAGUCUCCAGGCUCAGCCAGUAGGCAGGGGACUGUGACAGAAAGGGACAUGUGGCCAAGUCCCUCUGGUGAGAUACAAACCUGGACUUUGGCCAAACCUGGAUGUAAAUCUUCUCCCGGACUUCUCCCAGGUUUUCAACCUAGAAGCAUCUUUCUCCUGGACCUGGAAGCGAUCCCUUUGAAACACAGUCAUAAAGACAGGGCCUCUGUCUCCUGGGUCCUGUGGGAAGAGUCCUCAGGUGACCUUGGGAGUUCAUGCUUCCUCUCUAAGCCUUCGACCCCAAGCUGAAACAGUGGAGCUGCUGGAGAUGGUACUGGGUGCCCCUGCUAGCUGAGACAUUGCAGGACUUUUGGGACACGAGGUUCUGCCACUCUGAUCAGUCGUCAUCACCGUGUGUGCACAAGAGAACCCUGCAGAGCUUCCCAUGCUACAGCCAUUCAAACCUCUAAUCCUUGGAAUCCUGGUGUGGGAAAACUCAAGUGAAAAUGCCCAGGAAAUUCUGAUUGCUGCAGAGACAUUGAGGGAAUCAGCGAAUCUGGCAAUGAGGUUCUUACUGCAACCCCUAGAGGCAGCUGUCUUAAUGAAGAUGUGGGAACAGGGAGGCCUAUUGCAGAGAAAAAAGGUGGUUGCUAUGGUUUGGCUGUGUCCCCACCCAAAUCUCAUCUUGAAUUGUAGUUCCCAUAAUCCUCUCAUGUCCUUGGAGGCACCCAGUUUCAUGGGGUAAUCGAAUCAUGGGGGCAGUUUCCCCCAUGCUUUUCUCAUGACAGUGAGUGAGUUCUCACAAGACCUG